UGGGGUAUCGCCAAGCGGUAAGGCACCGGUUUUUGAUACCGGCAUUCCCUGGUUCGAAUCCAGGUACCUCAGCCA
rnacentral:tRNA from 4 species